GUAGUCAUAUGCUUGUCUCAAAGAUUAAGCCAUGCAUGUCUCAGUGCAUGCCGAAUUAAGGUGAAACCGCGAAUGGCUCAUUAAAUCAGUUAUGGUUCAUUAGAUUGUACCCACAUUUACUUGGAUAACUGUGGUAAUUCUAGAGCUAAUACAUGCAAAACAGAGUCCCGACCAGUGAUGGGAGGGACGCUUUUAUUAGAUCAAAACCAAUCGGUGGCGGGCGGCUCGCCGUUCGUCCACCGUCUAUUUUGGUGACUCUGAAUAACUUUGUGCUGAUCGCACGGUCUUAGCACCGGCGACGCAUCUCUCAAAUGUCUGCCUUAUCAACUGUCGACAACGGGUAACGGGGAAU
rnacentral:rRNA from 1 species